rnacentral:rRNA from 1 species
ACUCCUACGGGAGGCAGCAGUCGAGAAUCUUUCGCAAUGGGCGAAAGCCUGACGAAGCGACGCUGUGUGAGCGAAGAAGGCCUUCGGGUUGUAAAGCUCUUUCGCCAGGGAACAAGGGAGAUAGGAUAAUACCCUAUCGACUUGAUGGUACUUGGUAAAGAAGCACCGGCUAACUCUGUGCCAGCAGCCGCGGUAAUACAGAGGGUGCGAGCGUUAAUCGGAUUUACUGGGCGUAAAGCGUGCGUAGGCGGCCAUUUAAGUCAAAUGUGAAAUCCCCGAGCUUAACUUGGGAAUUGCAUUCGAUACUGGAUGGCUAGAGUAUGGGAGAGGAUGGUAGAAUUCCAGGUGUAGCGGUGAAAUGCGUAGAGAUCUGGAGGAAUACCGAUGGCGAAGGCANCAUCUGGCCUAAUACUGACGCUGAGGUACGAAAGCAUGGGGAGCAAACAGGAUUAGAUACCCUGGUAGGUCAGU